UACAGAGGGGGCAAGCGUUAUUCGGAAUUAUUGGGCGUAAAGGGCGCGUAGGCGGCUUGGCAAGUGACGGGUGAAAUCCCUCGGCUUAACCGAGGAACUGCCUGUCAGACUGCUUUGCUUGAGUCCGGGAGAGGUGAGUGGAAUUCCCAGUGUAGCGGUGAAAUGCGUAGAUAUUGGGAGGAACACCCGUGGCGAAGGCGGCUCUCUGGGACGGUACUGACGCUGAGACGCGAAAGCGUGGGGAGCGAACAGG
rnacentral:rRNA from 1 species